rnacentral:lncRNA from 15 species
UCCCCAGAUCCUCCUGCAGCCCCUCCAACAUUAAAGGGCCUCGCUAAAAGCCGGUCUCCAGCAGAACCACCAUCUAAAAAGUGUCUCUUACAAACCUUCAGAUGGACAGAAGAAGCUUCACUGAUCUCAGUGCACUGCUGCUCCAGUACACAGAGUCCAACCAGGAAGGAAGAGCUGCAGCCCGCAGAGGUCGAUUCUAAAGCACAAAGAGCAAACAGCUGCUGUGUCUGUGGAGCACAGCUGCAUGCGCAACCGGCCGAUCAUAUAGGACCACGGGGACGGAGGAUUCGAGCAGACCCAUUUACCGGCAGAGUAAACGGCAUCAACACGGAGGGAAAGUGGGGAAGUAGUAAAGCCCGCCUCCUGCUGCAUUACACUGGUUGUCUGGGACAACUGGGACAUUGAUGAACGGUGCAAAGUUGGAAAUGUUUCAACUUUCUUGUGCGUCUAAAAAUGGGUGUAAAAGUGUGACACACGGCGCAAGAGAGGAGCGCAGGGACCUUUGUCCCCCGUCACACUUCCACCCUCACAGCGGCAGUAAAGUCCGCUCGUUACCGCAGGGUCGGACGGGGCGUCCGGAUGGACAGACAGACAGAGGCCGUUGAUGUGACGGCACAUUAUGAACAGAGAGAAAUACAUGGACCUUCUGGCCUUAUGUGCUACUGUACAGGAAAUAAAGAUACGGUGGUUGUAUCACAGCUCAUGUUUGUAAAGAGCAACUGAAUAACAAUGACAUAACACGUUUCAAUCCAGAGUCAAAUCUAUAUGGUCCCGUCUACACUGUUCUUUAAUUCAAAUAGAAUCAGGUGUUCAGCCAAAGAGCGGCACAGGAGAAUAAUAUUCUGACAAUACACUACUGACAACACUGAUGUACAUAUUUCUAUACUUUGUGUAUACUUUAAUAUUGCUUAAAUACAUCUCUUUUCUUUUAAAACCUUAAUUAUCUGUGUGGUCUCCUUUGUUUUGUCUGAACUUUGAGCCGGUUCAGGACCCAGUACACAAAUAUUGUGAUAUAACUAGUAGUGUAACUACUGUAAAGUCAUAAUUCAUUGUAUGAAGUAUUAAGUAAUGAGUAAUAAAUUGCAUUUUUUGAGUAACACUGAGCAAAACUGAGAACUUUUGGGGGAAUUCUAACUGUUAUUAAUUAUUGAAAUCCUUGGUAUACAUAUAAUGCUGUUUCCAGGAUACAGGAAGAUAUUUAUAUAUACAUUUUUAUACUAUGGAGGCAGACUCCAUAAAUCCAGAAAAACAAACAAAUAACCAGAAAGAAAAGAAACAAACAAACAACAACAACAUGGAGAAAACAUGUAUCUGUAGUCACAGUACAGUAGGGCUGCAGUAAUAGUUAUUUUAUUAACCAUUAAUCUGUCAUUUUCUCAAUUGAUUAGUUUCCAUAAAAUGGUGAAAAUGUUGAUCAGUGUUUCCCAAAGCCCAAACAGAUAUUCAGUUUACUGUCACAGAGGACUAAAGACACUAGAACAUAUUCCCAGUGGACAUUAAAGAGGAAGCAGAGUGCGCUUUGCUUCAUGUUUCCUGUAACAGGAAGCUAGGGACGGACUUCAGUAACCAUGACAUCAUUUUAUCUAUAAAACUAUUUCAACACACUCAAUUCUGUAAAAGUGGCUAAAAUGAAAAUGAAAUUCUUAAAUCAGUGUGAAGCUUGUGUUUGACGCAGUGAGGUGCUGUACCAGCAGGUGGCAGCAGAGUCUAAAUUACUGAACUAACAUCCAACAGGUUGUAAUGUUUGUGUAUCAGCAGAGCUGCUAACCCCAUCAAUUCUUUCUUUACACACAUUUUACUGAGUGUUUGUGAGCCAUGGCCUCUCCUGAGAGCUGAGUACUUAAAGCACAACACAAAUAAUGAAUAGAAGGUUUUACUCAGACUUUGUAUCCACAGAUAAAUCAAACAGUUGAGUUCAUUCUGACUUUCCUCAGCAGUUCACAGACACACAACUGGCUCAGAUUCUGACAGUAAAACAAGAAUAAUGUUGUAUGAACCCUCACCCUGUUUCCACCUUCCUGCUCUGCUAAUAUAACAUGAGUCUGAGCUGAAGGCACCAAAUACUUCUUCUCUCAGGUAUCUCAGUCCCUCCCCUCUCCACCUCCACCCUCUGAGUCUGUGUUGAUGUAAUCUUUCUGUUUGUUAAAGGUCCAGUGUGUCACAUUGAGGAGGAUUUAUUGUUAUAAAUGUAAUAUAAUAUUCAUAGGUAUGUUUUCAUUAGUGUAUAAUCACCCAGAAUGCACAAACCAAACACUGGCUGUAGAUAGGGACCUUCAUGUUUUCGUAGUUUCUCCUUUAUGCUUGGAAGGGGAAGAUGAAGUGACUACAACUACAUCAGCAAAACAGAAGAAGAAGAAUCCCUUUUAUUUAUUAUACGUACACAUACAAGGAAUUUGACUCCGGUGUUGUGUUGCUCUCAAUGUACAUGCACAGAAACAGGCAUACAUAUAGCAAACAAUGACAACAGUCUAUAUAAGGUAAACAUAAAACAGCCAUGUACCCAGACCAACAGACUGCUCUGUACUGUGUGUUCUGACCAAUUUCUAUCAGAACCAGCAUUAACUGUUUCAGCAGUUUGAGCUACAGUAGCUCGUCUGUUGGAUCGGACCACAAGGGCCAGCCUUCACUCCCCACCUGCAUCAAUGAGCCUCAGCCACCCAUGAUCCUGUCUCUGGUUCUGUUCCUUCCUUGGACCACUCUUGAUAGGUACUGACCUCUGCAGACCGGGAACACCUCACAAGAGCUGCAGGUUUGGAGAUGUUCUGACCCAGUCGUCCAUCACAAUGUGGUUCUUGUCAAAGUGGCUCAGAUCCUCACGCUGCCCAUUUUUCCUGCUUCUAACACAUCAACUCUGUCUAC